rnacentral:lncRNA from 12 species
AGACAUUUUCUUUAGAAAAAUGCACAUAAUGACAUACACAGUUUAAAUUCAUAUUUAAUUGUUCUCCUCCAUAACCCUAUUUAGGAUUGGUAGAAUCCAGGUAGAAAACCAUACAUCCAGUAUAUUCUCUGAAUGCUCUCUAAUGGAGCUUUAAAAAUAUAUAUAUAUAAAAAUACCAUGGCUAUGGCUUAAAAUAUUGAAUGGAUCUCUCAUUGCUUACAAGCUGAGGUAUGAAUUUCUGUAAUAUUAUACCCAGGUCUUCUUAAUAUUACUUAAUUUACUUUCCAGUUCUUUUUCCUGACAUAUCCUGACCACACACACAUCCUAUCCUUCAGCUUUCCAAAAAUUUGACUUUCUCCCAAACAGGUAUGCACAUAGCUUUUGCCCUUUCCUCAGCUGAAGUAUUCUUUCCUUCCUAGUUUUCCCAUCUAAAUCCUCCCCAUUCAACAAGGCCCCAUUCAAGUAUCAUUUCCUCUGUUAAUCCUUUUCUGUCAUCAAAGUUUGAGUUAGUUGCUGCUAUAGAGUUAGUCGAUCCCAUUGCAAUGUACUCACAUCACUAUUAUGUCAAUUUACUUCAUGUUGCAGUUGUAUAUACACAUAAAUGACAGUAUUACACAUACAUGUAUAUAUCUGUAAGAGCACUUUGAGCCCACAUGAUGGAAAUGAGUAGUGAUGGGAUUACUGGAAAUGACCAGAAGCUGGAAAGAAUGGGACCGAGGUAGACAUAGAGCAGAGAAAGCUAGCGAAGUACUGAGUUCAAUUGGCUUGCAAGUGACAGCAGGGUAUAUUAUGAAGAGAUUCCAGUAGUCACAAAACAUUUGGCUCCAGAGUUUGGGUAACACUUGAAAAUAUCUUCUUAAAAGAUGUAUACAAAGCUAUGGGAGAAGAUAUGAUCAAGGGAGAGUAUAUGUGGAGAAAAAAAAAAGAGAGAGAGAGAGAGAAUAAAGGCCAGAACCCUGGAUGAUAACACUUAAGGGUUGGAAGGAAGAAGUGAUCCCAACAAAUGAGAUAAAGACAAAGAAAUCAGAGAUGGAGAAAGAGACUGGGAGAAUGUUUUUUGUUUUUUGUUUUUGUUUUUGUUUUUUUUUUUCAGAAGAAAAAUGGAAGAAAAUAAUAUGUUCACAAAACUGGGAAAGAAGAAGUACCAAGAUCAUGAGGGAGUCUUGCAUGUUAAGUGCCACAGAAAUCAAGUGUGAUGAGAAAAGAGAAGAAUCUGCUGGAUUCUAUAUUGCCUAGAAGAUGCCAGAUUUUCCCAACUACUCUACUUACUGGACUCUCCAUCAUCAAGUCUCAAGUAGCCAUAAACACAGCUAUCUCUGCUCUACCCUUUAAUGACUGGGCAUUCUAAUAGUGUAAUGUACUCUCUCUGAACAGGUGAUCUAUUCCAGUCAAGGAUUAAAUUAAACAUUACCUAACUUCUUUCAUCAUUAUUUCCUGUGAGGCAGUAGACUUUGGAGGUUAAGGAAAUACACCUGAAUUUGAUCUUAGCUUGGUCAGUCCUUUAAUGGCUUUGUAACUUGGUGCAGAUCACCUAAUCUUCCUAACCCUAUUUUUCUUACAUGUAAAGAGGUAAUAGUAGUAGUGUCCUUCCCUUAAAGGUUAUUGUGAGGAUUAAGUAAGAAAAUGCAGGUAACACAAAUUGUAUAGUUUACGG